AAUUACAUAUUUAAGAUUACUAUUUAAAGUGGAACUUAAUGAUUUACGAGUUUGGCUUUCUUGUAAGAGGUGGGUAGAAAUUUUUAUGUUACCUUUUGUAUAAGGGUUGGUAGAGUUGAUGUAUUUUUAAUAUUUUAGAAUAAGGAGGAUYUUAUAAGAGUUUUUUUACUUGUUAGUAAGUUAAAAUUUUUAUAAGGAGUAAUACGCUUUCGUUUUCUUAGUUAACUAAAAAAAAAUUAGUAACAAAGGGGUAAGUUCUUUGUUAAACUUUUAAUCUUAAUUUUUAAUUUUCUUUAAUAGUAGGGAAGUGUGUAAUAACUUAAGAGGUUUAGUUAAAGUAAUAUUUUUGGUUUUAGAUGUAUUAAUUAAUUAUUUAAUUAGUAGAAAAUUUAUGUAUUCUUAAAAAAUUUUAGUUUUAGUUAUAUAGUAAAUAUUAUUUUGUUUUACUGAUUAAACCUGAGACUGGUUAUUAAAACCAUAGCUGUAAUAUUUACAGUUUUUUCUGCCCUAUGAUUUUUAAAUGGCUGUGGUUUUCACACUAAGGUAGCGAGAUCAUUAGUUAUCUAAUUAAUAACUAGUAUGAAUGAAACCUCUUGGGUAAAAUUAUUUUUAAUUUUUAAUUUAUAUUAUUGUUGAAAAUAACAAUAUAUCUUUUAAGACUAAAAGACCCCGGGAUUUUUAUACUUUUAUUUAAAAGUGUUUUGUUGGGGUAAUAAAGUUAUUCAAAUAAAAAUAUAUUUUUAUUUUAUUGAACUUUUAUUAUAGAUAGGUGGUUAAAAUACCCCGGGGAUAACAGCUUAAUUAUUUUUAUUAGUUCUUAUAUAUAAAAUAGUUUGAGACCUCGAUGUUGGAUUAAAAAUAUUAUUGGGUGAAGAAGCCUAAUGGAUAGGACUGUUCGUCCUUUAAA
rnacentral:rRNA from 1 species